UACGUAGGUGGCGAGCGUUGUCCGGAUUUACUGGGCGUAAAGGGAGCGUAGGCGGACUUUUAAGUGAGAUGUGAAAUACUCGGGCUCAACUUGAGUGCUGCAUUUCAAACUGGAAGUCUAGAGUGCAGGAGAGGAGAAUGGAAUUCCUAGUGUAGCGGUGAAAUGCGUAGAGAUUUGGAAGAACACCAGUGGCGAAGGCGAUUCUCUGGACUGUAACUGACACUGAGGCUCGAAAGCGUGGGGAGCAAACAGG
rnacentral:rRNA from 1 species